rnacentral:snoRNA from 1 species
CCUCCCGUUCUUGGCAGGCCCCGGCCGCCCCGUGCCCGGGUCUGUGAUGUCCGGAGGUAGAGCAGCGAGUCUUUCACGGGCAGCCCCUUGCCAUGG